GGGACAGUGGCGCAGUGGUAGCGCGUGGCAUUGCAGCUUCAAGCUGUCUUGCUUAGGUCGGGUGUUCGAAUCACCCCUGUCCCU